CAGUAGCCGCGGUAAUACGUAGGUGGCAAGCGUUAUCCGGAAUUAUUGGGCGUAAAGCGCGCGUAGGCGGUUUUUUAAGUCUGAUGUGAAAGCCCACGGCUCAACCGUGGAGGGUCAUUGGAAACUGGAAAACUUGAGUGCAGAAGAGGAAAGUGGAAUUCCAUGUGUAGCGGUGAAAUGCGCAGAGAUAUGGAGGAACACCAGUGGCUAAGGCGACUUUCUGGUCUGUAACUGACGCUGAUGUGCGAAAGCGUGGGGAUCAAACAGGAUUAGAUACCCCGGUAGUCCCUGUCUCUUAUAU
rnacentral:rRNA from 1 species